ensembl:misc_RNA Metazoa_SRP Metazoan signal recognition particle RNA
GCUGGGUGUGGUGGCGCAUGCCUGUAAUCCCAGCUACUCGGGAGGCUGAGGCAGGAGAAUCGCUUGAGCCCAGGAGGCAGAGGUUGCAGUGAGCCGAGAUUGCGCCACUGCACUCCAGCCUGGGUGACAGAACGAGACUCAGUCUCAA